GCCGCUUUAGCUCAGGCAGGCAGAGCACCGGACUUUUAAUCCGGGGACCGUGGGUUCAAGCCCCACAGGCGGCA
rnacentral:tRNA from 1 species